rnacentral:sRNA from 1 species
AGGAUGAGGGAUAAUAAGGAUGUGCUGAGUGGAAAAAAUAUUUGUAUCAUUUACUGUACAAAAAUUUAUUAUAGAUUGUUUUGGAUAAAAACCUGCAAAAUUCUCAAGAUAAUUAGCUUUUAAUAAUUUCCCCAGUCCCACUGCACUUUGUAUACACAAAUGUUUAGUAAAAAUAGUCAAGUACAUUUUUUAACAAAAACUAAGUGAUAGUAUCUUAUAUGAUUCAUUAUUUUCUGAUACUAAAAUGCCAGUUUAGAAGCUGGCAUAAAAUUUAACUCUAUAAUAUGUGUAUAUAUAUUUUUUCUAUUUCUCCCCUGAAAUCUGUAUUUUAUAUCUGUCUUUUAUAGGGAGAUAAAAAAUUAAGGUGUGACUCUGCUGACCUUCGGCAUGACAUUGAUCGCCGUAGAAAAGAAAGAAGUAAAGAACGGGGAGAUUCCAAGGGCUCCAGGGAAUCCAGUGGAUCAAGAAAGCAGGAAAAAACUCCAAAAGAUUACAAGGAAUACAAAUCUUACAAAGAUGACAGCAAAAAUGUAUUUGUCUUUUACACGGCUUAUGGUGGAUGAGGACAAAAACUUUGGAAUAGCAAGCUAACACUGAAAAAAAAAAUGACAAAUUAAUGUGUCCUAUUAUCCAGGCUACAUCAGGAGGUUGGACUUCAAUGCAGUGCAUUUCUAGAAACAGUUUGUUAAACAUAAAAGAGAGCAAGAUAAUUCUCGAUCUUCAUCGUCUUCAGCAUCGCCUUCUUCUCCCAGUUCUCGAGAAGAAAAGGAGAGUAAGAAGGAAAGAGAAGAAGAAUUUAAAACUCACCAUGAAAUGAAAGAAUACUCAGGCUUUGCAGGAGUUAGCCGACCACGAGGAACCUUUUUUCGAAUUAGAGGCAGAGGAAGAGCCAGAGGAGUUUUUGCUGGGACAAAUACUGGUCCAAACAACUCAAAUACUACUUUUCAAAAGAGACCGAAGGAAGAGGAAUGGGAUCCAGAAUAUACCCCAAAGAGCAAGAAGUACUUCUUGCAUGACGACAGAGAUGAUGGUGUGGAUUAUUGGGCCAAAAGAGGAAGAGGUCGUGGUACUUUUCAACGUGGCAGAGGGCGCUUUAACUUCAAAAAAUCAGGUAGCAGUCCUAAAUGGACUCAUGACAAAUACCAAGGGGAUGGGAUUGUUGAAGAUGAAGAAGAGACCAUGGAAAAUAAUGAAGAAAAGAAGGACAGACGCAAGGAAGAAAAGGAAUAAUAAAUAUGAAGUAAGAUUACAACAGAGCAGAACUUGCACCCACCAUUUUUUUUACCUGAUUUUUGUUUUCAAAUAAGAAUGUAAGCAUUUUACUUAAAUUUUACUG